rnacentral:misc_RNA from 1 species
UUACGUAUCAGAGGAGGAAGUAUAUAAAGAAAUAGUGAGUAGUUAGAAAUGUUGGGAGUUCGUUUAAAGAGUUAGCUUGGGAGUAUGUUUGGCGGAAACUAAGAGAGAGAUGCCUGUGUACAUUUAGCUUCCAUGGCUGGAGUAGAGGGGCCAGUUGUCGUUGGCAAUCUAUUGGAGCAGGACAAUCCUGACCUUGGAAAUGAUGCAGCCAAAGGUUUUCUAUUUUCUUAUAUGUAAGCAAAUGCAAGUGCUAAUAAAUAGCAUGAUUUCAUGUAUUUAGUUUUGAUAGAUUAAUUUGGAUGAACAUUUUUUUUUGGGUACGAGGUGAAUUUAUUGAUAUGUUGAAGGAAGGACUCAUUGAUCCAUAGGAAGUCAUUAGAAAAGCAUUGGUAGAUGCUGCAAGCGUCUAUUCAUUGAUGACUACAACUGAGAAGGAAGCCCGGGCCAGCAAUGGCAUGGGUGACAUCGAUGCUGCGGUUUAAACAUUGACAGAAAUCAUUUUUUAGUGAACAACAAAUAUGCAAUUUAUACAAGAGCUCAAAUUUCCCUCAAGUCUAGUUCUCUCAAGUUGAUAACUGAUAAACUUUUGUUGUAUGUACUCUAUAAGCUCCAGCCACAGAUCUACUGGCAAAGUAAAAAUGUUUUUUGAGUUGCUAGUAAAAAAGGGCAAGAGAGAGAGGGGCUUUUUACAAAGUUUUUAAUUUUUAUUUAAAUAAUGAAGGAUGACUGCAAGGGGGACAGGACAGUGAGCUUCUAUCUGGGUGAGGUUUCUCUCCAAUGAUUGAGCAACCAUUCGCAUUUUCUGAUAGUUUGGCAUUAAAAAUAAGUUAUUGAGAAACCAUUCACAUUCACUGGCAGUUUGGCAUUAAAAAUAAGGUUAUCCCAUUUGCAAGUUGCAGCAUAAUCAUAUCAUCUGGAGGUCCUUUUGAGAGAGACAGAACCAAUCCCUCCUCGUAUUCUUUCAGAGAAACUUUUUGAGUUUGUUGACAUCUCUUUUUACACCAGUGAUCCAACCAUUUCUUGCUUACUGUUGGAAGGACUAGGAGAAGGAAUGAUGAGAGGAAAGGAGAUGGAAGGAAAAUUGGGAUGAUUAGGAAGGAAAGGAAUUCCUUCCUUCCACUUCCACCUGCUGCUGGGUCCACUCAUAAUAUUCAAUACCAUUGAUUGAGUGGGAGAAAGAGAUGUAACAAGUUGAAAAAUCCUUUUCUAUCCUUAAGAAUCUUGCAGUCGAUGGCACUUCUAACUCUAUAUUGGCAAUGAUGUAAUCAAAUCUGUAUUGUAUAUUUUAUUAUUUUAUUAUAAAAAAAAUUAAAGUAAGAACUUUU